rnacentral:misc_RNA from 1 species
AUUCCUUCUCAAGCUGGCUAACUUCACCGGCUUUAGCCACCCGAAAGUUGAGUGCUUCUUCUUUUUGAGACCUGUUGUCCAAAAUACGUCUUUCAGCUUUUGAUGUUGAGUUAAGAAGAGACUCCAACAAAACUUUCAAUUUAUCAACCUUUCCAGCAUGCAACCCUGGAGAAUCCCCAUUAUUCAAAGAUUUCUUCUUUAGUAAAAGUUCCUCCAACAUGGAACAUACUUCAAUUUGUCCAAGUGUCUCUUCAAGAGCCUUCACUGUUGCAAUAGUUG